GUGUCAGCCGCCGCGGUAAUACGUAGGGCGCAAGCGUUAUCCGGAAUUAUUGGGCGUAAAGAGCUCGUAGGCGGUUUGUCGCGUCUGCCGUGAAAGUCCGGGGCUCAACCCCGGAUCUGCGGUGGGUACGGGCAGACUUGAGUGCAGUAGGGGAGACUGGAAUUCCUGGUGUAGCGGUGAAAUGCGCAGAUAUCAGGAGGAACACCGAUGGCGAAGGCAGGUCUCUGGGCUGUAACUGACGCUGAGGAGCGAAAGCAUGGGGAGCGAACAGGAUUAGAUACCCCCGUAGUCC
rnacentral:rRNA from 1 species